GACGAACGCUGGCGGCGUGCUUAACACAUGCAAGUCGAACGGAAAGGCCCUGCUUGUGUGGUGUGCUCGAGUGGCGAACGGGGGAGGAACACGUGAGUAACCUGCCCUUGACUUUGGGAUAACUUCAGGAAACUGGGGCUAAUACAGUAUAGCAGCUCCUGCUGCAUGGUGGGGGUGGGAAAGUUUCGGCGGGUGGGGAUGGACUGGCGGGUAAUCAGCUUGUUGGUGGGGGAGUGGUAGACCAAGGAUUUGACGGGUAGGCGGCAUGGGAGGGUGGACGGCCUCAAUGGGACUGCGAUACGCAGCAGACUCGUACGGGAGGCAGCAGUGGGGAAUAUUGCACAGUGGGCGGAAGUCUGAUGCAGAGACGCCGGGGUCGUGAUGACCGCCUUCUGGUAGUAAACCGCUUUCGCUUGUGACGACGCGGGAGUGACGGUACUGGGUGAAGAAGCACCGGCUAACUACGUG
rnacentral:rRNA from 1 species